rnacentral:rRNA from 1 species
UACUCCUACGGGAGGCAGCAGUAGGGAAUCUUCCGCAAUGGGCGAAAGCCUGACGGAGCAACGCCGCGUGAGUGAUGAAGGUCUUCGGAUCGUAAAACUCUGUUAUUAGGGAAGAACAUAUGUGUAAGUAACUGUGCGCAUCUUGACGGUACCUAAUCAGAAAGCCACGGCUAACUACGUGCCAGCAGCCGCGGUAAUACGUAGGUGGCAAGCGUUAUCCGGAAUUAUUGGGCGUAAAGCGCGCGCAGGCGGUUUUUUAAGUCUGAUGUGAAAGCCCACGGCUCAACCGUGGAGGGUCAUUGGAAACUGGAAAACUUGAGUGCAGAAGAGGAAAGUGGAAUUCCAUGUGUAGCGGUGAAAUGCGCAGAGAUAUGGAGGAACACCAGUGGCGAAGGCGACUUUCUGGUCUGUAACUGACGCUGAUGUGCGAAAGCGUGGGGGUCAAACAGGAUUAGAUACCCUGGUAGUCCACGCCGUAAACGAUGAGUGCUAAGUGUUAGGGGGUUUCCGCCCCUUAGUGCUGCAGCUAACGCAUUAAGCACUCCGCCUGGGGAGUACGACCGCAAGGUUGAAACUCAAAGGAAUUGACGGA